GUCUACAGCCAUAUCACCCUGAAUGCACCCAAUCUCAUCUGAUCUCGAAAGCUAAGCAGGGUCGGCCUGGUUAGUACUUGGAUGGAAGACAGAUCUUCAGAAGAGACAGCAGCUUGGAGACA
rnacentral:rRNA from 1 species